UUUUAGUAAUUCACUCAUCCAAAAACCUUCCAACGUCUCUUAUAGAAAUAUUAAGAUUGGUCCAUUUAGCAUUCAUCCACCAUGCAACUCUAACUUCGACAAGUUCAAAAAUUUUCCCACCAUCCCAUUUUUUACCUUUAAAGACCACAUCACUCCUCACAAUCCAAAUGGCCCAUAUAUUGGCAUGACAUGCCAUUUUUCAUACCAAAUCA
rnacentral:lncRNA from 1 species